rnacentral:rRNA from 1 species
GGGAGGUAAUGUCUGGGAAACGUCUCGAUGGAGGGGGAUAACUACUGGAAACGGUAGCUAAUACCGCAUAACGUCGCAAGACCAAAGAGGGGGACCUUCGGGCCUCUUGCCAUCGGAUGUGCCCAGAUGGGAUUAGCUAGUAGGUGGGGUAACGGCUCACCUAGGCGACGAUCCCUAGCUGGUCUGAGAGGAUGGCCAGCCACACUGGAACUGAGACACGGUCCAG